UCUAACUCUUAGGCCUCUCUAACUUGAACAUCAUUUUACGUUACUAUUUUGCAGUGGUGGGCAUCAGGAUUUAUUUUGCCCGUUAUAGGAUAGAUGUAUGCAGAUUGAAAACCAAUGAUUUCUUUCAUUUAAUAGCAUGCAUCUACAGAAAGAAAGAAAAAUACUCAGAAGAAGACUCUUUGAUGAUGCCUUGGUUUUCUACUGACCUUUACAAGUUCAUGUACAAAUAUGUCAACAUAGUUUUCUAUUUGUUCAGAUGAUUGUUGGGCUGCAAUGAAUCAGGUUGAUAAGGGUAAUUGGUGACAAAGAAAUCCACAUUUCCUUCUAGCAUCAAAGCUUUUACAGAUUAUUUCCACAAGGUCUUAAGCUUUGAAUUUACUCAUAUGCAGGGUAUUUCACUUGUAGCAAGAAGAUGCCUGAUCCAGAACAGUUUCAAGAAGAAUAGAAAGAGUUGAAGAAAAUACAAGUUUUUAAGGAAGUGUUACUUUGAUAAAAUAGAAGGUUAGUAAAAGAGACUAUUUAUAUUUGGAUUCAAGGCUAUGUGACUGUGUGGAUACACAUACAUGGCUGACAUAUAUUGAACUGUGGAACUUGAUUGUACUUUUGACAUUAAAAGCAAAUCAGAGAACUGCAUAUAAGAGAAUUUACUAAGACCUCUUAGUGAAAAAGAGACUGCUGAGAAAGAAACAUAAGCUCUUAUUGUAGUAGAUUAGUUCAAAGUUGAAUAUCAAUGAAAGGAUGAUAAGUGGUGAUGCAACUCAAGAAAGUGUAUUUGAGGAUACGAGGAAACAUCUUAGUAUACAAACUUAUAGAUCAUAAGACAUGUCUUAUUGGAACAUACAUAAUCAUUUCUUAAAUUCAUUACUAUUUUCUUUUUUACUUGCACUAGGUGCAUUUUGCCGUAGAUUGUUAUAAUGUAUGAAUAUUUGCUUACAGUCAAACUGAUUUUGGAAAGACAUCUAUAUGGACCAAUCAUUGUCCUAUGAAACUGAAACUGCUCAGAGACUAAGCAAAUCAGUUUUGAUUCCAAAACUAUUAAUUGAAAUCAAAAUAGGCUUUAAAAUCAUAACAAAGAAACGGUUUUCCUCAACGUAACUGAAGUAAAUAUCAAUCAAAAUUAUAUUUAAUGUAAUAUUAAAUUUAUCAAUCAAUGAUCAAAUAAGACUUGUAUGCCACUAUUUAUGUUCCAAUAGCCUCUCACCAAUGGCAAUCAAGUUAAAAAGAAUUGACCAAAGCAAUUAAAA